rnacentral:rRNA from 1 species
GAUGAACGCUGGCGGCGUGCUUAACACAUGCAAGUCGAACGGGACUUACAUAGAAAGCGGCUUCGGCCAAUGGAAAUGUAAGUCUAGUGGCGGACGGGUGAGUAACGCGUGGGCAACCUGCCCCAUACCGGGGGAUAACACUCAGAAAUGGGUGCUAAUACCGCAUAAGCGCACGGGACCGCAUGGUCCUGUGUGAAAAACUCCGGUGGUAUGGGAUGGGCCCGCGUUGGAUUAGCUUGUUGGCGGGGCAGCGGCCCACCAAGGCGACGAUCCAUAGCCGGCCUGAGAGGGUGAACGGCCACAUUGGGACUGAGACACGGCCCAGACUCC